CACGUAGGAGGCAAACGUUAUCCGGAUUUACUGGGCGUAAAGCGCGUGUAGGUGGUUCUGUAAGUAGGGCGUGAAAGCUCCCGGCUCAACUGGGAGAGGCCGUUCUAAACUGCAGAGCUAGAGGAUGGUAGAGGGAGGUGGAAUUCCAGGUGUAGCGGUGAAAUGCUUAGAUAUUACACAGAACACCAAUUGCGUAGGCAGCUUACUGAGCCGACACUGACGCUGAGGCACGAAAGCGUGGGGAUCGAACAGGAUUAGAUACCCCGGUA
rnacentral:rRNA from 1 species